AUGAAGGCCACAUUGCUCAACUCUGAAAUCCCAGUCCAGUGGGGUUUACUGAGAGCCGGUAUAUCUUUCAUCCUCCCAGCUCCUCCCUGCUCAGAGAAACCCUUCCUUACAAGGGUGCUGGCUUCUCAAAGGACGAGAUACUCCCCCACGCUGAGAAUGACACUUCCCACCAAGUGGAGGUUUACUUGGUUGAGCACCAGACAUCCAUCCUCAAAAAAGCAAUACUGCGGAGUGGAAGCAUGCAGCAUCUCUAAACUUCAAACACAGACAAAUGGUUUGCAUUCUAACAUCACCCAUGAGACAGCCUGACAGGAACACACAUCCUAGAUUACCCGCGUCAAGGACACCCCAGGACCACAUAAAACCCCCAACCCCAAACCAUCAUGUGCUUCUCCCUUGAGGGCUUGCACUCAAGUACAUACUUUUAAAAUUCUGCUUAAUAAAUCUUUCUAAGCCUUUCACUGACAGGUCUUUUCUUUGCCAUCCUAAAGAUGGGGUGAGGUGAGGUCCCCAUCUCCUCUUUGGGGGGACUCCUUGGGUGCUGCCUGCUUACAGCAUGCUCUACCUACCUCGGCCACCAUAGGAUUUCCUUGCUGUUUAUUGAACAGGUCAGCCAUGCUCCAACCUUGGUGCCUUUGCACUUGAGGCUCGUGUAUCUACACAGCUAACUCUGUCACAGCCUUCAUAUGCCCUCUGGUUCCCAUACUGCCCCUCUAUCCCACCUCUUUUCUCUUCACAUUAUCUAUAACCAUGUAAUGCACUGUAUGUUUGUUUAUUGCUUGACUGCUCCUCUCAGAAAGUAAAUUUAGUGAGUGUGUUAGUCUAUUUUCAUUGCUCUACCCAGAGCAUUUAGAUAGUUCUUACCACACUACAGGCUCUCAAUGAUGGGUUUAUCCACUCAUUCUUAUAACGAACCACUUAAUCUACCAUCCCAAUUUGGCAUAUUUCGGUUCUUCUUAUGCAAGUUAGGCUCCUCCCCAUUGGUCAUCACUUCUCCUGGGAUAACCUCAUGUGGUGUCCUUUACUGCCCCUACCAUCAUCAGGGCACAGCAUGCACUAUCAUCAACUAGACUGGGAUCAGAGAGACCUGGGUACAGAUUUCGGUUGGCCGCUAAAUGACUAUGAGGCUUAGAGCAAGGCAGUUAGCCUAGGUAAGCCUUAAGUUUCUCAUCUGUUUAAUACUGAUGAUAACAUCACCCUACGGAGUUCUUGGAGGAUCAAGGAGAAUUUGGCACAGAAAGGCUGUAGUAACAAAGGCAAUCUAGCAAACGGUAAGCACUUAGCAGGUGUUAGUUUCUGCUAUAAGUAUUAUUUAGAGAAAGAUUUGUUGAGUUCUAUUCAUCCAAGUCAUCAUAAAUACAUACUAUAAAUGAGUUCCUUCCCCAGUCACUUGGAUAAUGGCUUCUAUUUUAAUAUCCUUCUCCCCACACAGACAAUCCCUUUAGCCUUUGAUAGAUGUCCUAUUUUUUUAAAGCUGCAAAGUCAAUUCGGAAGCAAAAAGGAAAACUUAUGUAUUAUCAUUAGCACAAAACCCCCAAGGAUUCACAAGGUUAAAGGUCUGAAUAGAGCUGGCCCUUCAUCUCCUUUUAAACUUUCUACUUCAGAGACUGUGAGAUAAAGGUCAAUAACCUUAGGGCAUAAAAGAAACAAAUGUAGCUUUUCUACAAGAUGAAGUUAACAGACAUAAGGCUGAAAGGAACCGAGAAGCUAUUUUAUUCCAUCAUUUAGGGUAUACUCAAAGUAAAUUCCAAUGAACCACAUAAAUCUUUUAGCACCCACAAUGCAACUCAU
rnacentral:lncRNA from 1 species